GAUGAAGAACGUAGCGAAAUGCGAUAAGUAAUGUGAAUUGCAGAAUUCAGUGAAUCAUCGAAUCUUUGAACGCACAUUGCGCCCUCUGGUAUUCCGGGGGGCAUGCCUGUUCGAGCGUCAUUAUAACCACUCAAGCUCUCGCUUGGUAUUGGGGUUCGCGGUUUCGCGGCCCCUAAAAUCAGUGGCGGUGCCUGUCGGCUCAACGCGUAGUAAUACUUCUCGCGAUUGAGUUCGAUAGGUCUACUUGCCAGUAACCCCCAAUUUUUACAGGUUGACCUCGGAUCAGGUAGGGAUACCCGCUGAACUUAAGCAUAUCAAUAAGCGGAGGA
rnacentral:misc_RNA from 1 species